rnacentral:rRNA from 1 species
AGAGUUUGAUCAUGGCUCAGGACGAACGCUGGCGGCGUGCUUAACACAUGCAAGUCGAACGGAAAGGCCCCUUCGGGGGUACUCGAGUGGCGAACGGGUGAGUAACACGUGGGUGAUCUGCCCUGCACUUUGGGAUAAGCCUGGGAAACUGGGUCUAAUACCGAAUAGGACCGCAUGCUUCAUGGUGUGUGGUGGAAAGCUUUUGCGGUGUGGGAUGGGCCCGCGGCCUAUCAGCUUGUUGGUGGGGUAAUGGCCUACCAAGGCGACGACGGGUAGCCGGCCUGAGAGGGUGUCCGGCCACACUGGGACUGAGAUACGGCCCAGACUCCUACGGGAGGCAGCAGUGGGGAAUAUUGCACAAUGGGCGCAAGCCUGAUGCAGCGACGCCGCGUGGGGGAUGACGGCCCUCGGGUUGUAAACCUCUUUCAGUAUCGGCGAAGCUCCAGGAUUUUUCUUGGGGUGACGGUAGGUACAGAAGAAGCACCGGCCAACUACGUGCCAGCAGCCGCGGUAAUACGUAGGGUGCGAGCGUUGUCCGGAAUUACUGGGCGUAAAGAGCUCGUAGGUGGUUUGUCACGUUGUCCGUGAAAACUCACAGCUUAACUGUGGGCGUGCGGGCGAUACGGGCAGACUGGAGUACUGUAGGGGAGACUGGAAUUCCUGGUGUAGCGGUGGAAUGCGCAGAUAUCAGGAGGAACACCGGUGGCGAAGGCGGGUCUCUGGGCAGUAACUGACGCUGAGGAGCGAAAGCGUGGGGAGCGAACAGGAUUAGAUACCCCGGUAGUCCAA